GAUGAACGCUGGCGGCGUGCCUAAUACAUGCAAGUCGAGCGAAUGGAUUAAGAGCUUGCUCUUAUGAAGUUAGCGGCGGACGGGUGAGUAACACGUGGGUAACCUGCCCAUAAGACUGGGAUAACUCCGGGAAACCGGGGCUAAUACCGGAUAAUAUUUUGAACUGCAUGGUUCAAAAUUGAAAGGCGGCUUCGGCUGUCACUUAUGGAUGGACCCGCGUCGCAUUAGCGAGUUGGUGAGGUAACGGCUCACCAAGGCAACGAUGCGUAGCCGACCUGGGAGGGUGAGCGGCCACACUGGGACUGAGACCCGGCCCAGACUCCUACGGGAGGCAGCAGUAGGGAAUCUUCCGCAAUGGACGAAAGUCUGACGGAGCAACGCCGCGUGAGUGAUGAAGGCUUUUGGGUCGUAAAACUCUGUUGUUAGGGAAGAACAAGUGCUAGUUGAAUAAGCUGGCACCUUGACGGUACCUAACCAGAAAGCCACGGCUAACUACGUGCCAGCCGCCGCGGUAA
rnacentral:rRNA from 1 species